rnacentral:rRNA from 1 species
GGAAGCCUGAACCAGCCAUGCCGCGUGCAGGAAGACGGCCCUACGGGUUGUAAACUGCUUUAUACGGGAAUAAACCCCGGUUCGUGAACCGGGCUGAAUGUACUGUAAGAAUAAGGAUCGGCUAACUCCGUGCCAGCAGCCGCGGUAAUACGGAGGAUCCAAGCGUUAUCCGGAUUUAUUGGGUUUAAAGGGUGCGUAGGCGGCCUGUUAAGUCAGGGGUGAAAGACGGUAGCUUAACUAUCGCAGUGCCCUUGAUACUGAUGGGCUUGAAUAUACUUGAGGUAGGCGGAAUGUGACAAGUAGCGGUGAAAUGCAUAGAUAUGUCACAGAACACCAAUUGCGAAGGCAGCUUACUAAGGUAUGAUUGACGCUGAGGCACGAAAGCGUGGGGAUCAAACAGGAUUAGAUACCCUGGUAGUCCACGCCCUAAACGAUGAACACUCGAUGUUGGCGAUAUACGGUCAGCGUCAAAGCGAAAGCGUUAAGUGUUCCACCUGGGGAGUACGCCCGCAAGGGUGAAACUCAAAGGAAUUGACGGGGGCCCGCACAAGCGGAGGAGCAUGUGGUUUAAUUCGAUGAUACGCGAGGAACCUUACCCGGGCUUGAAAGUUAGUGAAUGUGGCACGAGACGCCAUCAGUCCUUCGGGACACGAAACUAGGUGCUGCAUGGCUGUC